rnacentral:rRNA from 1 species
AUUGAACGCUGGCGGCAGGCCUAACACAUGCAAGUCGAGCGGUAGAGAGAAGCUUGCUUCUCUUGAGAGCGGCGGACGGGUGAGUAAUGCCUAGGAAUCUGCCUGGUAGUGGGGGAUAACGCUCGGAAACGGACGCUAAUACCGCAUACGUCCUACGGGAGAAAGCAGGGGACCUUCGGGCCUUGCGCUAUCAGAUGAGC